AGCGAACGCUGGCGGCAGGCUUAACACAUGCAAGUCGAGCGGGCACUUCGGUGUCAGCGGCAGACGGGUGAGUAACACGUGGGAACGUGCCCUUCGGUUCGGAAUAACUCAGGGAAACUUGAGCUAAUACCGGAUACGCCCUUUUGGGGAAAGGUUUACUGCCGAAGGAUCGGCCCGCGUCUGAUUAGCUAGUUGGUGGGUUAAUGGCCUACCAAGGCGACGAUCAGUAGCUGGUCUGAGAGGAUGAUCAGCCACACUGGGACUGAGACACGGCCCAGACUCCUACGGGAGGCAGCAGUGGGGAAUAUUGGACAAUGGGCGCAAGCCUGAUCCAGCCAUGCCGCGUGAGUGAUGAAGGCCUUAGGGUUGUAAAGCUCUUUCGACGGGGACGAUAAUGACGGUACCCGUAGAAGAAGCCCCGGCUAACUUCGUGCCAGCAGCCGCCGU
rnacentral:rRNA from 1 species